rnacentral:rRNA from 1 species
UCCGUAGGGUGAACCUGCGGAAGGAUCAUUC